rnacentral:rRNA from 1 species
AGGCAGCAUGGGGGAAUAUUGCACAAUGGGCGCAAGCCUGAUGCAGCCAUGCCGCGUGUAUGAAGAAGGCCUUCGGGUUGUAAAGUACGUUUCAGCAGUGAGGAAGGUGGGUAUGUUAAUAGCAUAUUCAUUUGACGUUAGCUGCAGAAGAAGCACCGGCUAACUCCGUGCCAGCAGCCGCGGUAAUACGGAGGGUGCGAGCGUUAAUCGGAAUUACUGGGCGUAAAGCGCAUGCAGGUGGUUUGUUAAGUCAGAUGUGAAAGCCCGGGGCUCAACCUCGGAAUUGCAUUUGAAACUGGCAAACUAGAGUACUGUAGAGGGGGUAGAAUUUCAGGUGUAGCGGUGAAAAUGCGUAGAGAUCUGAAGGAAUACCGGUGGCGAAGGCGGCCCCCUCGGACAGAUACUGACACUCAGAUGCGAAAGCGUGGGGAGCAAACGGGAUUAGAUACCCUGGUAG